CCUACGGGGGGCUGCAGUGGGGAAUAUUGCACAAUGGGCGCAAGCCUGAUGCAGCCAUGCCGCGUGUGUGAAGAAGGCCUUCGGGUUGUAAAGCACUUUCAGCGGGGAGGAAGGCGGUGAGGUUAAUAACCUCAUCGAUUGACGUUACCCGCAGAAGAAGCACCGGCUAACUCCGUGCCAGCAGCCGCGGUAAUACGGAGGGUGCAAGCGUUAAUCGGAAUUACUGGGCGUAAAGCGCACGCAGGCGGUCUGUCAAGUCGGAUGUGAAAUCCCCGGGCUCAACCUGGGAACUGCAUUCGAAACUGGCAGGCUAGAGUCUUGUAGAGGGGGGGAGAAUUCCAGGUGUAGCGGUGAAAUGCGUAGAGAUCUGGAGGAAUACCGGUGGCGAAGGCGGCCCCCUGGACAAAGACUGACGCUCAGGUGCGAAAGCGUGGGGAGCAAACAGGAUUAGAUCCCUAGUAGUC
rnacentral:rRNA from 1 species